CCACGUUUGACAUGUCCAGUUUGGGCUGCAGAGAUGCGGUCCUUCNGUUCGGCUGGCUGGAACACAGGUGCUGCAUGGCUGUCGUCAGCUCGUGUCGNGAGAUGUUGGGUUAAGUCCCGCAACGAGCGCAACCCUCGCUACUAGUUGCCAUCAGGUUAUGCUGGGCACUCUAGUGGAACUGCCGGUGGCAAGCCGGAGGAAGGUGGGGAUGACGUCAAGUCCUCAUGGCCCUUACGCGUGGGGCUACACACGUGCUACAAUGGUGGUGACAGAGGGAUAAUCCCUAAAAGCCAUCUCAGUUCGGAUUGUCCUCUGCAACUCGAGGGCAUGAAGUUGGAAUCGCUAGUAAUCGCGGAUCAGCAUGCCGCGGUGAAUA
rnacentral:rRNA from 1 species